GUCAUGGCUCAGGAUGAACGCUAGCUACAGGCUUAACACAUGCAAGUCGAGGGGCAGCAUUUCAGUUUGCUUGCAAACUGAAGAUGGCGACCGGCGCACGGGUGAGUAACACGUAUCCAACCUGCCGAUAACUCCGGGAUAGCCUUUCGAAAGAAAGAUUAAUACCGGAUGGCAUAUGAUUAUCGCAUGAUAAUCCUAUUAAAGAAUUUCGGUUAUCGAUGGGGAUGCGUUCCA
rnacentral:rRNA from 1 species